rnacentral:rRNA from 1 species
GACGAACGCUGGCGGCGUGCUUAACACAUGCAAGUCGAACGGUGAAGCCCUUCGGGGUGGAUCAGUGGCGAACGGGUGAGUAACACGUGGGUAACCUGCCCCUCACUCUGGGAUAACUCCGGGAAACCGGGGCUAAUACCGGAUACGACCUCCUUGGGCAUCCUCGGAGGUGGAAAGUUUUUCGGUGAGGGAUGGACCCGCGGCCUAUCAGCUUGUUGGUGGGGUAAUGGCCUACCAAGGCUUUGACGGGUAGCCGGCCUGAGAGGGCGACCGGCCACACUGGGACUGAGACACGGCCCAGACUCCUACGGGAGGCAGCAGUGGGGAAUAUUGCACAAUGGGCGAAAGCCUGAUGCAGCGACGCCGCGUGAGGGAUGACGGCCUUCGGGUUGUAAACCUCUUUCAGCAGGGACGAAGCGCAAGU